rnacentral:rRNA from 1 species
AGAGUUUGAUCAUGGCUCAGAAUCAACGCUGGCGGCGCGCUUAACACAUGCAAGUCGAACGAGAAAGCGGGGGCAACCUCGCAAGUACAGUGGCGUACGGGUGAGUAACACGUGGGUAAUCUACCCUUGAGUGGGGAAUAACGCUGGGAAACCGGCGCUAAUACCGCAUAAGCUCGAGAGAGGAAAGCAGCAAUGCGCUG